CUUGUUGAAUAUCGAAUGGAGGCGGAGCUACUGCUUAUCACGUGUUUAUCGGUGGUGCUCUGUAACCCCGGAGAUAAGAUAGGCCACCUCUGUUCCCAGUUACUGCUCGGAUGUGACGCUGACUGCCGACUCUGGUCGCGGUUGUUGUGGUUCAGGUGGUUGUUGUGUGCGCUUCUGCAUGACGUCACCACAUUCAUGGUUUGGGCGUGUCGUAAGAGCCUGUCUUUGGUCCGCUGUUGGUUUCGGUCUCCUUUGUUUGCUGAGCUCAGGACAGUUGGACUAUGUACUACGUGCAACGGCAUUACACUCAAGCGGCAUCCGCAGGUCCGCUGCAGACUGGACUGCAUUCUGCUGCACAGCUACUUUGCAGCCAGGUAUCUAAUAAUUUAUAUUUGGUCAUUUGGACUAUGUACUACGUGCAACGGUAUUACACUCAAGCGGCAUCCGCAGGUCCGCUGCAGACUGGACUGCAUUCUGCUGCACAGCUACUUUGCAGCCAGGUAUCUAAUAAUUUAUAUUUGGUCAUUUGGACUAUGUACUACGUACAACGGUAUUACACUCAAGCGGCAUCCGCAGGUCCGCUGCAGACUGGACUGCAUUCUGCUGCACAGCUACUUUGCAGCCAGGUAUCUAAUAAUUUAUAUUUGGUCAUUUGGACUAUGUACUACGUACAACGGUAUUACACUCAAGCGGCAUCCGCAGGUCCGCUGCAGACUGGACUGCAUUCUGCUGCACAGCUACUUUGCAGCCAGGUAUCUAAUAAUUUAUAUUUGGUCAUUUGGACUAUGUACUACUUACAACGGCAUUACACUCAAGCGGCAUCCGCAGGUCCGCUGCAGACUGGACUGCAUUCUGCUGCACAGCUACUUUGCAGCCAGGAGAACCCGCUCCCUCAAUGCCCCCAGUCCCAUACAGCAGUUCGGCCCUUGCGGCCGGAUUAUGAAGAAUUCGGCUAUGGUUAUGACGAUACAAGACCCUGCCAGUCAGAGACUGACAUGGUACAAGCCACCUCUCACAGUCCUAGUCAUCAAGAAGGUGCGAGAUGUGUCAGUGCUCAGUCCAUUCGUCCAGCUUGUGCGCUGGCUUAUAGAGGAGAAGCGGAUGGUGGUGUUUGUGGAGCAGUCUGUGAUGGAUGAUUCACUGUUGCUGGGUAAUGCAGACUUCUCUGGCGUCAAGGAGAAGCUGAUGACGUUUCGCGAUGGCAAGGAUGAUCUCACAGACAAGAUAGACUUCAUAGUGUGUCUGGGAGGCGACGGGACGCUGCUCUACGCCAGUCUACUGUUCCAGCAAUCCGUGCCUCCCGUGAUGGCAUUCCACCUCGGCUCACUCGGCUUCCUCACACCCUUCGAGUUCGAGAACUUCCAGGAGCAGGUCACCAACGUGUUGGAAGGCCACGCAGCUCUCACACUGCGCAGUCGACUCCGGUGUAUCAUAAUGAGGAAGAAUGAGGAGGUAACAAAAGCCAAACCUCCGUCCAACCUUCUGGUACUGAAUGAAGUGGUAAUAGACAGAGGGCCAUCUCCGUAUCUCUCCAACAUCGAUCUGUUCCUGGAUGGGAAACACAUCACUUCAGUACAGGGCGACGGUCUGAUCGUGUCAACACCCACCGGUAGCACUGCGUACGCCGUGGCAGCCGGCGCCUCCAUGAUCCAUCCCUCCGUGCCCGCCAUUAUGGUCACCCCCAUCUGCCCCCACUCCCUCUCCUUCAGGCCCAUCGUAGUGCCGGCGGGCGUGGAGCUCAAGCCUGCGGGUGACGACAUCUAUUUACCCGGUGCCCAGCAUCUGCUCUCAGGACCAGAUCUCCGACUGGUUCGACUCUCUGGCCGAGUGCCUCCACUGGAACGUGCGUAAGCGGCAGAAACAUCUGGACGAACUGAGCGACCUGACCCAUUCAACCAGCAAUGACACGCUCGACUCACUUGACCACACGGAGCAGCUCGACAGCUAGAACUCUGUGUUUACAGGUCGUUGUGAGCGUGAGGGGACGCGGCGCGGCGCACCGAUACACUUUUGUAUUUUAUACAUGUAAUGUUAGUGUUUUAUAUUUAUUGAAUGUUGUUCUAUUUACUAUGGUGACUGGUGUAGAGGUAGAUAGUGUGUACGUGGCGAGUGUACGAGUGCGUGUGUGUGUGUGUGUCUGCGGGUGCGUGAGUACACUGAGAUGUGAUAUGUACAGUUCUCGUAGCGUCUAGGUAUAUUUUGUAUUUUGAUAUGAUCAAACUAAAAUAUAUUGAAAUAUUUUUUUACAUUUUAAUAGUUUUUACAGUUUCUCUUCGUGACAAAACGAUUGUUAAAAUUGAUAAAUUCUUCAUGGGAUAGGCAUUAUAUAAGGUUGUUAUUGAUUUAUUCAUGAGUUGUGAUAGAUUUUAAUACAUAUAUUUUAUAAAUAACUUAUUGUGUUACCAAACAAUGCUGUUCACCUGUUUUGGGGAAUGUAUUCAUUACUUGAUUUUACUUAAUAAGAAAUCUCUUUUAAUCCAGUGUUCAGAAAAAUAUAAUUUUGUUGAAUUGAGCGAACACGUGACAAUAACACAGUCAAUGCUGUCAGUUGUUGUCAACCAAAUGUACAGCAAUGCUAAACUUUUAAUUUUGCAACAGUGUUUAUUUUAAAUGCACAAAUUUAUUUAUUUUGAUAUUUUCACCCCGAGCUUAGCUUACUGCUUCUCUGGAAUGGGUGCGAUUAGAAAAAUCAGAGUUGUUUUCAAUAACAAAAUCAUGUUUUAAUAUAAUUAAAUGAUAUGAAAUAUUAGUUAUUACCAACUUUUGAAUUUCCCUUUUGAUUCCUAGACUUCAAGUUUAGUUCAGAGUAAACUAGUUAAACUUGAAUCACAAUGGAAGUAAUUUUAGAGUAUAUUUUAGUUUCAUUAGAAUUUAUAUGCUCAGAAUUUGUCAUAUUUGGAGAAAAUGUGUGAUCUGCUCUCAUUUUGGAUGUAAUUUUAUUUUAAGAUUAUUAUAAUGUACAAUUUUAAUAGUUUGAAAUAAUGUCAAUUGUCUACUUUAUUAAACCUGUGUCUGUACCUCAGAAGUUUUUUAUUGACUAUUUUUAAUAAAAUUACAUAAAUAUUUUA
rnacentral:misc_RNA from 1 species